rnacentral:rRNA from 1 species
AUGCCGGAGUGCUUGCACUUUGGCAGACUGAGUGGCGGACGGGUGAGUAACGCGUGGGUAACCUGCCUUAUACAGGGGGAUAACAGUUGGAAACGGCUGGUAAUACCGCAUAAGCGCACAAUGUUGCAUGACAUGGUGUGAAAAACUCCGGUGGUAUAAGAUGGACCCGCGUUGGAUUAGCUAGUUGGUGAGGUAACGGCCCACCAAGGCGACGAUCCAUAGCCGACCUGAGAGGGUGACCGGCCACAUUGGGACUGAGACACGGCCCAAACUCC